UAUUGCACAAUGGGGGAAACCCUGAUGCAGCGACGCCGCGUGAGCGAAGAAGUAUUUCGGUAUGUAAAGCUCUGUCCUCAAGGAAGAUAAUGACGGUACUUGAGGAGGAAGCCCCGGCUAACUACGUGCCAGCAGCCGCGGUAAUACGUAGGGGGCUAGCGUUAUCCGGAAUUACUGGGCGUAAAGGGUGCGUAGGUGGUUUCUUAAGUCAGAGGUGAAAGGCUACGGCUCAACCGUAGUAAGCCUUUGAAACUGGGGAACUUGAGUGCAGGAGAGGAGAGUGGAAUUCCUAGUGUAGCGGUGAAAUGCGUAGAUAUUAGGAGGAACGCCAGUUGCGAAGGCGGCUCUCUGGACUGUAACUGACACUGAGGCACGAAAGCGUGGGGAGCAAACAGG
rnacentral:rRNA from 1 species